rnacentral:rRNA from 1 species
UACGUAGGGGGCUAGCGUUGUCCGGAAUCAUUGGGCGUAAAGAGCGUGUAGGCGGUCCGGUAAGUCCGCUGUGAAAGUCGGGGGCUCAACCCUCGAAUGCCGGUGGAUACUGUCGGGCUAGAGUGCGGAAGAGGCGAGUGGAAUUCCUGGUGUAGCGGUGAAAUGCGCAGAUAUCAGGAGGAACACCUAUUGCGAAGGCAGCUCGCUGGGACGUUACUGACGCUGAGACGCGAAAGCAUGGGGAGCAAACAGG